UACGAAGGGGGCUAGCGUUGUUCGGAAUUACUGGGCGUAAAGCGCGCGCAGGCGGCUAUCCAAGUCAGUGGUGAAAGCCCGGAGCUCAACUCCGGAACUGCCAUUGAAACUGUUUAGCUUGAGGACGAGAGAGGUGAGUGGAAUUCCCAGUGUAGAGGUGAAAUUCGUAGAUAUUGGGAAGAACACCGGUGGCGAAGGCGGCUCACUGGCUCGUAUCUGACGCUCAGGCACGAAAGCGUGGGGAGCAAACAGG
rnacentral:rRNA from 1 species